UACGAAGGGGGCUAGCGUUGUUCGGAAUUACUGGGCGUAAAGCGUAUGCAGGCGGAUCGUUAAGUCGGGGGUGAAAUCCCGAGGCUCAACCUCGGAACUGCCUUCGAUACUGGCGAUCUUGAGUCCGGGAGAGGUGAGUGGAACUCCGAGUGUAGAGGUGAAAUGCGCAGAUAUCAGGAGGAACACCAAUGGCGAAGGCAGCUCGCUGGGACGUGACUGACGCUGAGACGCGAAAGCGUGGGGAGCAAACAGG
rnacentral:rRNA from 1 species